rnacentral:rRNA from 1 species
GGGUGCGAUCAUGCCAUCAUUAAUGCACCGGAUCCCAUCAGAACUCCGAAGUUUAGCGUGCUUAACCGAGUGUAAUACUAAGAUGGGCUUUGCACAGG